rnacentral:rRNA from 1 species
AGAGUUUGAUCAUGGCUCAGGACGAACGCUGGCGGUGUGCUUAACACAUGCAAGUGGAGCGACGAACCAGGGCUUGCCCUGGGGCAGAGCCGCGAACGGGUGAGUAACACGUGGGUAACGUACCCCGAUGACCGGGACAACCCGAGGAAACUCGGGCUAAUACCGGAUGUGUCCGUGGAUCAUGAGAUUCACGUGCAAAGGAAGCUUCGGCCUCCGUAUCGGGAGCGGCCCGCGGCCCAUUAGCUUGUUGGUGGGGUAACGGCCUACCAAGGCUGCGAUGGGUAGCUGGUCUGAGAGGACGAUCAGCCACACUGGGACUGAGACACGGCCCAGACUCCUACGGGAGGCAGCAGUGGGGAAUCUUGCGCAAUGCGCGAAAGCGUGACGCAGCAACACCGCGUGAGGGAAGACGGCCUUCGGGUUGUAAACCUCUUUCAGGAGGGACGAAGGGCGACCGGUGAACAGCCGUGUCGUCUGACGGUACCUCCAGAAGAAGCACCGGCUAACUACGUGCCAGCAGCCGCGGUAAUACGUAGGGUGCGAGCGUUGUCCGGAAUCAUUGGGCGUAAAGCGCGCGUAGGCGGCCCGAUAAGUCCGCUGUAAAAGUCAACGGCUCAACUGUUGAAAGCCGGUGGAUACUGUCGGGCUAGAGUACGGAAGAGGCAAGUGGAAUUCCUGGUGUAGCGGUGGAAUGCGCAGAUAUCAGGAGGAACACCUAUAGCGAAGGCAGCUUGCUGGGACGUUACUGACGCUAAGGCGCGAAAGCGUGGGGAGCGAACAGGAUUAGAUACCCUAGUAGUCC